GAUCGCCAUCAUCUGAAUACAGGCUGAUAAAAUCAACCAAGAUGAAACUUCUUUUGUGCUUCUUUGCUUUAGCUGGCCUUGUCGCCAGUGAAGUAUCACAAAAAAUUGUUGGAGGAUCCAAUGCUUAUGCCGGACAAUUUCCUUGGCAAGCGUCUCUUCAGAGAAGUUCUGGAAGCAGCUGGUCUCAUAUCUGUGGUGGAAGUUUGAUUUCCAGCAACCGAGUUUUAACCGCUGCCCAUUGUGUUUCUCCCAACAGUCCCGGGUCAUAUCGAGUUGUUCUUGGUGACCACAGAUUAAACAACAAUGAUGGUACAGAACAGGUCAUUUAUAUCAGUUCUAUUGUAAACCAUCCUAACUACAAUGGUAAUGCUAAUGGAUACCCUAACGACAUUUCUGUUAUGAGACUUGCAUCCAAUGCAAAUACCGGAAGUUCAGCUGUCAGCACUGUUACUCUGGCCCCAUAUGGAUCAAGUUUUACUGGUCAAAAAUGUACAAUCAGUGGAUGGGGUAGAACAGUAGGUGGUGGUAGUCUACCAAACACCCUUCAAUAUGUAUCUAUGAAUAAAAUCUCUAACAGUGAAUGUACCAGUAGAUGGGGUAGCAGUAUCAACAGUGGACAUAUCUGUGUUCAUGAAACAGGAAAAUCAGCCUGUAACGGUGACAGUGGUGGACCUAUGAUCUGUAAUGGUUAUUUGGCUGGAGUUACAUCAUGGGGAGCGUCUGGAUGUCCAGGCACCUAUCCUAGUGUGUAUACCCGAGUAUCACAAUACCUUAGCUGGAUUGCUUCUAUUUAAGAUAAAUCUAUAA